rnacentral:miRNA from 1 species
UCGGGUGACACACCCUGGAAU